UGAUAAUGGUGAGGGUAAUUUUUGAGCGUAUUUUUAAAUCUCUCCCAAGCUUGGUAGAGAUUCUAUCCUUUUUUCUGUCUGAAGCUCAGAAUAUUGCUUCUCAAAUA
rfam:Capsicum annuum cultivar Zunla-1 chromosome 6, whole genome shotgun sequence